CAGCCAUCCCAGUGGGUGUAUCCUCAUUCUGGCACAAGCUGAGGAAGUCACAGGACAUGCCCUUUGGCUUCCAGGUCUGCUGAAAACUCCUAAUUUCCUGAAAGGCCAUGUGACAAUAGAGUCAGAGAUUGGAUGAUACAGCCGCAAGCAAACCAAGGAAUCCUGUGGAUGGCUACCAGCCUCAGAAACCAGGAAGAGACCAAGAAGGAUUCUUCCCUCGCGCCUUCAGGGAAGGAGAGGGGUGGCCCUGACAAGGUCCUCAUUUUGGACUCCCAGCUUCCAGACCUGUGAGAGAAUGAAUUUCUGUUGUUUAUGUCA